rnacentral:lncRNA from 1 species
GCUGGAUUAUUUUCAUGAUGGCUGUUACCUUCAUUUCUUUCCCUACCCCACAGAGGAAGCCUCUAAAAAUGCUCCUCAGAGGACAUUAAGCUGAUUGCCCUAUUGCUGAGAUGAGCUCAGCAGGAUGGGGCUGAAGAAUGGGUGCUGUGAAAUUUAAGGAAAAAAGGUAACAUAAAACAAGACACAGAGACAUUUAUGUUAAGUAAAGGUGGGAACCGGGGGACUUAAGGUCUCAGGGACCAAGAGCUCUGCCUCAAGAAACCACACUGCUUUUAUUGUGCUCUUUAGGAUGACAUCAAGUAGGGAGGGGGCUAUGGGUGGAGGAUAUAAGGUUUGUUUACUAUUUCAUAACUUCUUUUAUUAUUUUAAAAGCCACUUAGCUGGUAGAGGGUUAAGCUUUUACUCUGACCUUUAGGCACAUAACAAUCAUUAGCAAUUACUAGCAAUCAUUAGCAAUUACUCACUUUUUUUCAAAUAUUAGCCAAACCAAGACUAAUUUAUUUGCCAAUUAAGUCUGGUGUCAACAACCUUGGCCUGAUGAUUUGUGUGAAUAGAAUUGAUCAUAUAGAUUUUUGGUUUUUUUAGUUGGCUUUGUUAGAACUUUAUGAGGAAUCUUAGACUAAGCUUUUAAAAGGCCCUCAGGUCUAGGAAAGUCUUGCCAAGGGUUUGUCUUAAAGAUUUUUAUCUUAAAGAUCUUGGUGAAUUCCUUCCCUUUUAAAAACUCUGAUACAUUGAGGUUUUUACAUGCUGCAUACAAGGUGGCCUUCCUAAUUAUCUGAUAAAGCUUUUGGGAAACUGAGAGUUUCCAUUCUCUGAAGAAAUCAGGUAGAGAAGAGAGAAAUGUUUCAGUUCUGCUUACAAAGGUAUAAUUCACCAAAUUGUGUGUUGGGGAGAAUUUCUUUAUACCUGGAAAACACAGAUUAAAAGCCAAUAUUAUUUUAAAUAGAAACCAUAAAAUUAUAACCAUAUUCACCGGUUCACACAGUCCAAUGUAACAAAUACUUUUUGUUUAACUGUUUAUGAAAUCAAUUUCCCUUUUAGAUUUAAAAAAAAAUUUUUUUUUUUUUUUUUUACUCAGCUUAUCAUUAAGGUCUGGAACUCAGAAACUUGUGUUUUUUUUAAAAAAGUUUGUUCCAUAGAUCUUCUAGAAAAGGAAAUAUUUUUGCAAAGGUAUCAGAGUAAAGCCACUAACUAACAGUGACAAAAGACUUAAGGCACAUUGUAAAUCUGAUUGUAAUGCAAAUUUACAAUGAAACUUGGUAACUGUUGUGACAUAUAACAAUUUGGACUAACUAGGAAAAAAAAAGAAUUAUAGCAUAGUACCAGUAUAUAUGCAAAUUUCAGAAACUGUAAAAGUUCUAGAAUAUUUAUAUUAAAAACAUCUAUUCAUCUAUAUAAUCUGAGGCUUGUCACUCAUUUGAUAAUUCUCUCUAUGUAUUUUAACAUUUCAAAUCAUUUUAGUAAAUUUAACAUUUUUUUUUUUUUUGAAUGCCUCUGUUGCGGAAACUGCAAAAACUGUGGCAAUGGAAGGAGACAAACAGCACUCAGAGAUAUGGAAAAGCAAGGUUUAUUCAGCACCGGUGCGGGUUCAGAGGAGUCACCACCAGAGUCUGAGCACCAGAUGCAUCCAGAUCUGGAGGCCCCAAACUGGUAUAUGUAGGGAAGACAGGACAUGAUAUCUUGGAUUUGCUACAGGAAGAUAUAGCCACAGCUGGAUAUAGAACCCAAAGUGAAGAGACAGAGGAAGAAAUAAUUUGGCUUCUUCCUACAUCCUGCCUCCAAUAUCCCACUGGAGCCUCCCUUUGGCUGAAACUGAUUGGAAGUCAGUGGGUAAAAAUUCCUGGGAAAUGUGGUUUGUACAGCAAGCUCCUUUUGGAGCAGGAGAAAAAUAUGGAAGUGGUCUAUGAGCAAGCAGUUUCUAGACUAUAAUCUUACAGAUAUGGUGCUUUGUGAUGAUGAAUAUCCCAAAAGAUCUGCUGAUAUUAAAGCAUAAUUGGAUAACAAUGACCCAGCACAGGGGAUUGCAAGGCUCCUGAUUGAGGAUAUCCAUUAUCCCUGAGGGGCAAUGGUUUAGAAAUUUGAAGCCAUGGGAUUUGGUCAACAUAUGCUAACAUUAGAAGGCCAUAGAAAGAGAUUCACCCUGAAUCCUGCCACUAAUCCUGGACUGUUAGAAUCCUUCUUCCCCAGACACCUGUGUGGGACUUCAAGGCCUCUCCAAGGAGAUAUAACUCAAAAAAGCUCCGGCUGAUAUAAAAAUUACCAGACCCUUAUUGCCCCACCCAUCUCAUUGUAAUGCCCCCUCCCUCACCUUGAGUGACCCGGCCUACUCCUUCCUACCCUCUACUAGGAAAGGUAUGUGGCCCACUCCUCAUCCCACCCCUAUAGGGGCAUUAUAUAUCCCCAAACUACCAGCAAGUGUGUCAUAAGACUCCCUUUCCCCAACCAAUAAGUGGGUCAGCAGCUGUAUUGUAAGACCUCUCCUCUCUACCUGGGGCUAUAAAAACAGGCACAACUACUUGCUCAGGUCAGCUUUCCAUUAUCAGCAGGAAGUCCUUACAUUGCACUAGCAGUGUCUCUUAUCUCAAUAAACUUAAAUUUCUUUUGACCCUGCUAUGAGUCUGGAAACUCUUUUUCCAAUCUUUGUACAGACCACGACCUGAAGAAGUUUGAAAGUUUUAAGGGAGCUAAAAAAAUCUUGAAUUCCAUGUAUGAUGUGAUGAUUUGUUUUCAUGUUUCUGAAUCAUUUGUUAAACUGUCAGCCACUUAAGAUUAAAGACUGUGCGUUCU